GUGGGGAAUUUUGGACAAUGGGCGCAAGCCUGAUCCAGCAAUGCCGCGUGCAGGAAGAAGGCCUUCGGGUUGUAAACUGCUUUUGUACGGAACGAAACGGUCCUGUUAAUACCUGGGGCUAAUGACGGUACCGUAAGAAUAAGCACCGGCUAACUACGUGCCAGCAGCCGCGGUAAUACGUAGGGUGCGAGCGUUAAUCGGAAUUACUGGGCGUAAAGCGUGCGCAGGCGGUGCUGUAAGACAGGCGUGAAAUCCCCGGGCUCAACCUGGGAAUUGCGCUUGUGACUGCAGUGCUGGAGUACGGCAGAGGGGGAUGGAAUUCCGCGUGUAGCAGUGAAAUGCGUAGAUAUGCGGAGGAACACCGAUGGCGAAGGCAGUCCCCUGGGCCUGUACUGACGCUCAUGCACGAAAGCGUGGGGAGCAAACAGGAUUAGAAACCCGGGUAGUCC
rnacentral:rRNA from 1 species